rnacentral:rRNA from 1 species
UACGAAGGGGGCUAGCGUUGCUCGGAAUCACUGGGCGUAAAGCGCACGUAGGCGGAUCUUUAAGUCAGGGGUGAAAUCCCGAGGCUCAACCUCGGAACUGCCUUUGAUACUGGGGAUCUCGAGUCCGGGAGAGGUGAGUGGAACUGCGAGUGUAGAGGUGAAAUUCGUAGAUAUUCGCAAGAACACCAGUGGCGAAGGCGGCUCACUGGCCCGGAACUGACGCUGAGGUGCGAAAGCGUGGGGAGCAAACAGG